GACGAACGCUGGCGGCGUGCCUAACACAUGCAAGUCGAACGGGGUUAUUAUGGAAGUUCCUUCGGGGACGGAAGUUUUAACUUAGUGGCGAACGGGUGAGUAACGCGUGAGAAACCUGCCUCUCAGUGGGGGACAACAGUUGGAAACGACUGCUACUACCGCAUGACACUUUAGUAUCGCAUGAUACCGAAGCUAAAGGUUUAUGUGCUGAGAGAUGGUCUAUCGUCUGAUUAGGUAGAUGGCGGGGUAACGGCCCACCAUGGCGACGAUCAGUAGGCGGUCUGAGAGGAUGAACGGCCACAUUGGGACUGAGAUACGGCCCAGACUCCUACGGGAGGCAGCAGUGGGGAAUAUUGGGCAAUGGGGGAAACCCUGACCCAGCAACGCCGCGUGAAGGAAGAAGGCUUUCGGGUUGUAAACUUCUUUUACCAGGGACGAAGGACGUGACGGUACCUGGAGAAAAAGCAACGGCUAACUACGUGCCAGCCGCCGCGGUAAAAC
rnacentral:rRNA from 1 species